CAUGUAUAGUUAGCACUCACUACAAAUACAUAAGGGAAAAAGCCAUAGUAGAGAGCCUUAGCACAGGGAAGAGAAAUACUGACUGGUGGCUAAUGAUGAAUCUGUUAUAAAAGCUACAUUACUAUGAAGUCCACUCAGUAAAGAAGUUAUGCUCCAGGACAGAACAAACUCCACAAAUAAAGGAAGAGAAGAGGCCUCAUCAAAGAAGGAGUCCCAGAAGAAAACAAGAGGGAAAAGGAAGC